AUCUAUGGUCAUACCACCCUGAAUAUGCCCGAUCUCAACUGAUCUCAGAAGCUUAGCAGGGCGGGGCCUGGUUAGUACUUGGAUGGGAGAAAAAAAACUAAAGCAAAACGGGCUAGGGGUA
rnacentral:rRNA from 1 species